rnacentral:rRNA from 1 species
CACGUAGGGGGCAAGCGUUGUCCGGAAUUAUUGGGCGUAAAGAGCUCGUAGGCGGCUCGGUAAGUCAGGUGUCAAAUCCUCAGGCUCAACCUGGGGCUCCACCUGAUACUGCUGUGGCUAGAGUCCGGUAGGGGAGCGUGGAAGUUCCUGGUGUAGCAGUGAAAUGCGUAGAGAUGUGGAGGAACACCGAUGGCGAAGGCAGCCCCCUGGGUCGACACUGACGCUCAUGCACGAAAGCGUGGGGAGCAA